AUACGGAGGGUGCGAGCGUUAAUCGGAAUUACUGGGCGUAAAGCGUCCGUAGGCGGUCAGAUAAGUCUGAUGUGAAAGCCCCGGGCUUAACCUGGGAACGGCAUUGGAUACUGUUUGACUAGAGUCCGGUAGAGGGUGGUGGGAUUCCCGGUGUAGCGGUGAAAUGCGUAGAUAUCGGGAGGAACACCUGUGGCGAAGGCGGCCACCUGGACCAAGACUGACGCUGAGGGACGAAAGCGUGGGGAGCAAACAGGAUUAGAAACCCUAGUAGUCC
rnacentral:rRNA from 1 species